GUAUAUGUAUUAAGUGUAACAGAUCUGUAGAAAGGACUUUACGACUUGGAGCGGAAGUUCGAGAAUUAACAGAACAGAUACAAAACCACUUUAGCAGAACCCAGGAAAGACUUACAGUGGCGUUACGAUCACAGGGUAUAAUUACGAAACGUUUGGCAAGUAGUCCAGCGUUAGUCCAGCCGAAGAAAAUGACUAAGUUUCCAAGUGUUCAAGUUGUUGUUCCCGUUGAAAUCAGGCCUUUCAGGGAUAUAACUUCAACAUUUACAACACGAAGUUCACAAAGACAAGAAACGGAGCAACAACCAAAUCUUGCUAAACCAGUAAGAAGAAGUUUAUCCAAGGACUUAAACGUCUCGGCACAAAUUGAUUCAACCGAAAUAUAUAGAAUAGUAGAGAUAUCAACACUGUAGAAUGAGCCUCAGUAUAUGUGCAUUACCCGAGUGGAACAAAGACAGCCCUUAUUACAUCAGAAGUUCAAAAAACUAUUUGCAAAGUAAUAGUGAGAGGGAAUAAUGCUGAAAGGACCAUUGUA